rnacentral:rRNA from 1 species
GAUGAACGCUGGCGGCGUGCCUAAUACAUGCAAGUCGAGCGAAUGAUGAGGAGCUUGCUCCUCUGAUUUAGCGGCGGACGGGUGAGUAACACGUGGGUAACCUGCCUGUAAGAUGGGGAUAACUCCGGGAAACCGGGGCUAAUACCGAAUAAUAAAAGAAGAAGCAUUUCUUCUUUUUGAAAGUUGGUUUCGGCUAACACUUACAGAUGGGCCCGCGGCGCAUUAGCUAGUUGGUGAGGUAACGGCUCACCAAGGCGACGAUGCGUAGCCGACCUGAGAGGGUGAUCGGCCACACGGGGACUGAGACACGGCCCAGACUCCUACGGGAGGCAGCAGUAGGGAAUCUUCGGCAAUGGGCGAAAGCCUGACCGAGCAACGCCGCGUGAGCGAGGAAGGUCUUCGGGUCGUAAAGCUCUGUUGUCAGGGAAGAACAAGUACGAGAGUAACUGCUCGUACCUUGACGGUACCUGACCAGAAAGCCACGGCUAACUACGUGCCAGCCGCCGCUGUAACAC